AUGGACCUCAGUCUCCUCAUCCAGAGUGGCUCCCCUCCCCCUCCCCAGAAGCCCACAGAGCGGGAGAAGUGCGGACGAGGAGACGAUGGGGAACUGGGUCCACCUGGACCUCAGUCUCCUCAUCCAGAGUGGCUCCCCUCCCCCUCCCCAGAAGCCCACAGAGCGGGAGAAGUGCGGACGAGGAGACGAUGGGGAACUGGGUCCACCUGGACCUCAGUCUCUUCACCCAGAGUGGCUCCACCUCCCUCUCCCCAGAAGCCCGCAGAGCGGGAGAAGUGCGGACGAGGAGACGAUGGGGAACUGGGUCCACCUGGACCUCAGUCUCCUCAUCCAGAGUGGCUCCCCUCCCCCUCCCCAGAAGCCCACAGAGCGGGAGAAGUGCGGACGAGGAGACGAUGGGGAACUGGGUCCACCUGGACCUCAGUCUCUUCACCCAGAGUGGCUCCACCUCCCUCUCCCCAGAAGCCCGCAGAGCGGGAGAAGUGCGGACGAGGAGACGCUGGGGAACUGGGUCCACCUGGACCUCAGUCUCCUCAUCCAGAGUGGCUCCCCUCCCCCUCCCCAGAAGCCCACAGAGCGGGAGAAGUGCGGACGAGGAGACGAUGGGGAACUGGGUCCACCUGGACCUCAGUCUCUUCACCCAGAGUGGCUCCACCUCCCUCUCCCCAGAAGCCCGCAGAGCGGGAGAAGUGCGGACGAGGAGACGCUGGGGAACUGGGUCCACCUGGACCUCAGUCUCUUCACCCAGAGUGGCUCCACCUCCCUCUCCCCAGAAGCCCGCAGAGCGGGAGAAGUGCGGACGAGGAGACGCUGGGGAACUGGGUCCACCUGGACCUCAGUCUCUUCACCCAGAGUGGCUCCACCUCCCUCUCCCCAGAAGCCCACAGAACGGGAGAAGUGCGGACGAGGAGACGCUGGGGGGCUGGGUCUAGCAGGACCUCAGUCUCCUUGUGCAGUGUGGCUCCCUCUUCCCUCUCCAGAAGCCCGUACAGCAGAGAGGUACCGACGGGGACGAGCUGGGGAAACGAGGUCCACCUAGACCCCAGAAGCCCACACCGUGGAAAGGUGAGGACGGGAACGAGCUGCGGAAACUGGGUCCAUCUAGACCUCGGUCUCUUCCUCCGCGGCGUAGAUCCCCUUCCCCAGAAGCCCACAGCCGAGAGGUGCGGACCGGGACACGCCCGGGACGGGCAGAGGGACCCGUAG
rnacentral:lncRNA from 1 species